rnacentral:lncRNA from 10 species
GAAAAAUGUAUUUUGUCCUCAUUCUGAAAAGAGAUUUUUUCUUGGUAUGUAAUUCUAGGUUGGAAAAUAUUUUCAUUCAGCAUAUAAAAGAUUUUUAAAAGACUUUGUUUUGUUAAAAAUUAAAAGCACAAAGAUGAAAACAGAAUUUUAAAAACUGCUUCAAAUCAAACUGUCCAGAGAUGAUAUUAUUAAUAUUUUUGUGUAUAUCUGCCCAAUCUUUUCAGGUAUAUACAUGCAAUUCAUUUAUAAAAGGUAGAUCUUAGUGUUUAAAACUUGAAUUUUUUAAACUUGACAACAUAUUGUUGUUAUAUAUUGUUAUUCUUUGCAUAGUGUAAUUUUUAGGAGUUGGGUCUGGGCCUGGUGCAGUGGCUCACACCUGUAAUCGUAACACUUUAGAGGCUGAGGGGGGCAGAUCUCUUGAACUUAGGAGUUUGAGACUAGUCUGGGCAACAUGGUGAAGCCCAUCUCUACAAAAAAUAUAAAAAUUAUCUGGAUGUGGUGGCAUGUACCUGUAGUUCUAGCUACUUGGGAAGCUGAGGCAGGUGGAUCACUUAAGCCCAGGAGGUUGAGGCUACAGUGAGCUCUGUUUGCACCACUGCAUUCCAGCCUGGGUGACAAAGUGAGACCCUGUCUCGAUUGAAAAAAAAAAAAAAAAAAAAAAGGAUCUAGAGUUUGAAGUCAGCCACCUAAGUUCAAAUUCUGAUUCAACUCCACACUAAUUGUUUAACCUUGAGCACAUUACUUAGCUGCUGUCCCUGAAUUUCUUCAUGUGUAAUCCAGCUGAGCCUUCUGUUGUCUAGUGCCACAACUCAAUGCAUAUCAUCCAGGAAAAGCUAAAAUCACUUUUCCACAUUAUAAGACUGCUUCUUUAUCCCAAUACAACUCACACUAGUACAACACAAACACUAAAUAAAUCUUAAAAGCUGGCUUCACUGCAUUAUUUCAUUUUCGUAACCUCUUUAAUUUGCUUUCUCCUUUGGCUCAAUGCUAAGCUCCUGUUCACAUGCCUAACCAUCAUCAUAAAUCUCUCAAGUGAUGAUCAGUAUUUUCCCAUUCUCCUCUUCCUUCCAGAGCCACAGAUUAUUUUAUUCUGCUUACAGUCAAAUGGGGUUAUGUAACUCAUGCUGGCUAAUGAACUGAGUCAUGAGAGGUAUUUCUAGUUUACAGCACAUAAAAAGCCAGUUGUAAUUCUCAAUAUUCCCUUACUCUAACAGAAUGUACUAUAACCCUAUUCCCCCAUCUAUUAAAAUACAGUACUAUAAAAAAGGAGCAGCUUGGAAUUCUUUGCCACCACUUGGAAGAGGUUCUCCUCGAUAUUCCAGGAUUUUUGAAGACAAAAUAAUGUUAAUAAUAAAUAGGUUGUAAGUCUACAAGGUUAACAGCAGAGACUUGAGACUAUGGCAAAUUGAUCAUGUGAUGCCAAUCUUAUGAAACUUAUCCAAGGCCACCCAGCUAGUCUUCUGCAAUCAUCCUCUUUGUUGGUGACUUUUCUGGGUGGUAUGUACCUUUCUGUUUAAACUUCUACAUAUAAUCCUUCCUCCAAUUAAUCAAGAAAUGUUCUUCUUACAUUUGUUUAAGAAAUUUGGGAUAUUGGUAAUCAUUACAUCAAAUCUUCUUUGAUCAAAUAGUGAAUUCAACCUGGAAGCAGUGAUGGAUCAGCUCUCCUUGAGAGGGGCAUAUUGUCACAUGCAAAGCCAUUUCCUUUAUUCAGGGGAGCUAGAACCUACAUUCUGGUUAGUCCCAAAAUUUU